rnacentral:rRNA from 1 species
UACGUAGGGUGCAAGCGUUGUCCGGAAUUAUUGGGCGUAAAGAGCUCGUAGGCGGUUUGUCGCGUCUGCUGUGAAAACUCGGGGCUUAACUCCGGGCCUGCAGUGGGUACGGGCAGACUAGAGUGCGGUAGGGGAGACUGGAAUUCCUGGUGUAGCGGUGAAAUGCGCAGAUAUCAGGAAGAACACCAAUGGCGAAAGCAGCUCUCUGGGACGGUACUGACGCUGAGACGCGAAAGCGUGGGGAGCGAACAGG